rnacentral:rRNA from 1 species
GUGGGGAAUUUUGGACAAUGGGCGCAAGCCUGAUCCAGCCAUGCCGCGUGCAGGAUGAAGGCCUUCGGGUUGUAAACUGCUUUUGUACGGAACGAAAAGACUUCUUCUAAUACAGGAGGUCCAUGACGGUACCGUAAGAAUAAGCACCGGCUAACUACGUGCCAGCAGCCGCGGUAAUACGUAGGGUGCAAGCGUUAAUCGGAAUUACUGGGCGUAAAGCGUGCGCAGGCGGUUAUAUAAGACAGAUGUGAAAUCACCGGGCUCAACCUGGGAACUGCAUUUGUGACUGUAUAGCUAGAGUACGGUAGAGGGGGAUGGAAUUCCGCGUGUAGCAGUGAAAUGCGUAGAUAUGCGGAGGAACACCGAUGGCGAAGGCAAUCCCCUGGACCUGUACUGACGCUCAUGCACGAAAGCGUGGGGAGCAAACAGGAUUAGAAACCCUGGUAGUCC